rnacentral:lncRNA from 1 species
CUCUCGUGGAGAGAGGUGGUGUCGAGCGCGUUGGUCGUAUCUUAGUGGUAGAUGAAGUAACAGAUUUGAAACAGCUAUUCUGUUUGGAUUAAGGUUUAGUGUUGGUUGAUGAAACGUGCAUUACAAGUGUAUUAUUCGUAGUUCAAAAACCGGAUCAGUGCAACACCAGUGGAUUUAAAGAUAUCCAGGUUUUUGUAGUGGGCUCAGACAACGAUUGUAAGGUGAGCGGAUGUGUGAAGGUGUAUAAAUGCACGGCGAGACGAGACGGUGAAAGGGACUCAUAUCGUCUGAUAGGACGAUGUGAUGUGACUGCACGUUUCAGUGAGUAAAGUACUAAGAGUGUUUACAUU